rnacentral:lncRNA from 1 species
AUGUCAAUCAAUUUAUGUAUGGAGAGAAGCUGGAGACAGGCAGGCCAAGGUCUGAGCACAGAGCUCUGGGAGAGCCCAGGACUGCAUUGACCUUUGUGCCUGAAGAGUGUCGUGGUGGACAAGGUGUGCUCUGCCCUGUUCCAAGGAAACAACAGGAACUUGCAGUCUUUGUUCUGAGACAGGAUCUUGUACCCCAGAAACUUCUGAUCCAUAUGCCUCCACCUCUUAAAUGCCUGCCCCUUUUUUUGUUUUGUUUUGUUUUAAAUUGUGUGUUUACACAUUUGUGUUCUGUGGUGCUUUUAAUGGAAAACUGGCAAGAACCGGUUCUCUCCCUCCCAUGUGCAUCCAGCUUGGUGGCAGGUGCUUUUGCUCACUCAACACUGUGCCUUGCUCCACAACCAGUUUUAUUCAGCUCUGGGGACACAACUCAGGACUUUAUGUGUUCUAGAAAGCUUUCCCCUCUGAGCACCCACAGAAUUUUAAGGACACCAUCCCUCCCAUGCCCAGGCACUCACGUAUUUCCACCCGAGUGUGGUCUUGCAGUUCUCACAGUAGAUGUCGGCCACUGCAUGCAGCCCGGUUAGAAGGACUCUCUCCUCAGCGGGGCCACAGCCCACAUUCACCCUGUGAAGACACAGAGUGGCUGUGCUGGAGGUCUCCCUGCCCAGUGCCCCUCCCCUCCCCCACAUCAUA